rnacentral:antisense_RNA from 17 species
AGAAGGGUUUCCGCAGCGCUAGUCGUUCGGAAGCCUUUUUCUUUUGC